ensembl:snRNA U6 U6 spliceosomal RNA
GUGCUUGCUCAGGCAGCACACUGAUAACACUGGAACAAUACAGGGAGAUUAGCAUGGCCCUAGCAAGGAUGGCAUGCAAGUCCAUGAAGUGGUCCAUACAUUA